rnacentral:rRNA from 1 species
GAUGAAGACAGGCCUUAGGCUGAAAGUUCUUUCGUUGGGAGGAAGGCUCUCAUGCUAUAUCAUCACCGAUCGACGUACCCGACAGAAGAAGCCCCGGCUAAUUCCCGUGCCCAGCAGCCGCGUAAUACGGAGGGGGCCACGCGUUUAUCGCAAUUACCCGCGCGUAAACCGCACGCCGCGCGGUUGAUUAAAGUUAGAUGUGAAAUCCCCGGGCUUAACCUGGGAAUGGCAUCUAAGACUGGUCAGCUAGAGUCUUGUAGAGGGGGGGUAGAAUUCCAUGUGUAGCGGUGAAAAUGCGUAGAGAUGUGGAGGAAUACCGGUGGCGAAGGCGGCCCCUGGACAAAGACUGACGCUCAGGUGCGAAAGCGUGGGGAGCAAACAGGAUUAGAUACCCUGGUAGUCCACGCUGUAAACGAUGUCGAUUUGGAGGUUGUGCCCUUGAGGCGUGGCUUCCCGGAGCUAACGCGUUAAAUCGACCGCCUGGGGAGUACGGCCGCAAGGUUAAAACUCAAAUGAAUUGACGGGGGCCCGCACAAGCGGUGGAGCAUGUGGUUUAAUUCGAUGCAACGCGAAGAACCUUACCUACUCUUGACAUCCAGAGAACUUAGCAGAGAUGCUUUGGUGCCUUCGGGAACUCUGAGACAGGUGCUGCAUGGCUGUCGUCAGCUCGUGUUGUGAAAUGUUGGGUUAAGUCCCGCAACGAGCGCAACCCUUAUCCUUUGUUGCCAGCGAUUCGGUCGGGAACUCAAAGGAGACCGCCGGUGAUAAACCGGAGGAAGGUGGGGAUGACGUCAAGUCAUCAUGGCCCCUACCAGUAGGGCUACACACGUGCUACAAUGGCGUAUACAAAGAGAAGCGACCUCGCGAGAGCAAGCGGAACUCAUAAAGUACGUCGUAGUCCGGAUUGGAGUCUGCAACUCGACUCCAAUGAAGUCGGAAUCUGCUUUGUUUAUCGUUAUAUCCCGCAUUGGCGUCACCAGUGAUGCCAAU